UCCCUUGUGCAGUUUGUUGUGUGGUUUUAGAUAAAUUUUUGUUUUCGAUGUUAUCUUUCAACAUUGUUUGGGAGAAGCCAACGAGGUCGCACAUACUUUAGCAAAAUUUUCCUUUAAUUCUAGUUCCUCUUGUGUUUGGGAUUCCACCCCUCACUUUAUUUCAUCAAUGCUUCUAAGCGAUCUCUCCAUUAUUUGAUGAAUAAAGUCUUUUGAUAAAAAAAAUUAGAUAAAAGUAAU
rnacentral:lncRNA from 1 species